rnacentral:rRNA from 1 species
CGCGUGUGUGAAGAAGCUGAGGGGUAUAAGCACUUUCAAUAGGAGGGAAUACUAUCGGUUAAUACCCGAGUAGACUGACAUUACCUAUACAAGAAGCACCGGCUAACUCCGUGCCAGCAGCCGCGGUAAUACGGAGGGUGCAAGCGUUAAUCGGAAUUACUGGGCGUAAAGCGUGCGUAGGCGGUUAUUUAAGUCAGAUGUGAAAGCCCUGGGCUUAACCUGGGAACUGCAUUUGAUACUGGAUGACUAGAGUUGAGUAGAGGAGAGUGGAAUUUCAGGUGUAGCGGUGAAAUGCGUAGAGAUCUGAAGGAACACCAGUGGCGAAGGCGGCUCUCUGGACUCAAACUGACGCUGAGGUACGAAAGCGUGGGUAGCAAACAGGAUUAGAUACCCUGGUAGUCCACGCCGUAAACGAUGUCAACUAACCGUUGGGUUCUUUAAGAACUUAGUGGUGGAGCUAACGUAUUAAGUUGACCGCCUGUGGAGUACGGACGCAAGGCUAAAACUCAAAUGAAUUGACGGGGGCCCGCACAAGCGGUGGAGCAUGUGGUUUAAUUCAAUGCAACGCGAAGAACCUUACCUACCCUUGACAUGUAGCGAAUCCUUUACAGAUAGAGGAGUGCCUUCGGGAACGCUANC